rnacentral:rRNA from 1 species
GACGUAGGGCGCGAGCGUUGUCCGGAUUUAUUGGGCGUAAAGAGCUCGUAGGCAGUUUGUCACGUCGGCUGUGAAAACCCGAGGCUCAACCUCGGGCCUGCAGUCGAUACGGGCAGACUAGAGUAUGGCAGGGGAGACUGGAAUUCCUGGUGUAGCGGUGAAAUGCGCAGAUAUCAGGAGGAACACCAAUUGCGAAGGCAGCUCGCUGGGACGUUACUGACGCUGAGACGCGAAAGCGUGGGGAGCAAACAGG